rnacentral:SRP_RNA from 1 species
CGCCGGGAACUGCGCGGCGGAAGCUCGCCGAACCCCGCCAGGGCCGGAAGGCAGCAACGGUAAGGCGAAGGACCGUGCGACGCAUUCUUCCCGGCAUUU